CCUACGGGGUGCAGCAGUGGGGAAUAUUGCACAAUGGGGGAAACCCUGAUGCAGCGACGCCGCGUGAGUGAAGAAGUAUUUCGGUAUGUAAAGCUCUGUCAGCAGGGAAGAAAAUGACGGUUCCUGACCAAGAAGCCCCGGCUAACUACGUGCCAGCAGCCGCGGUAAUACGCAGGGGGCAAGCGUUAUCCGGAAUUACUGGGUGUAAAGGGAGCGUAGACGGCAGGGCAAGUCUGGAGUGAAAGGCGGGGGCUCAACCCCCGGACUGCUCUGGAAACUGCCAGGCUGGAGUGCAGGAGAGGUUAGUGGAAUUCCUAGUGUAGCGGUGAAAGGCGUAGAUAUUAGGAGGAACACCAGUGGCGAAGGCGACUUACUGGAAUAUAACUGACGUUGAGGCUCGAAAGCGUGGGGAGCAAACAGGAUUAGAUACCCUGGUAGUC
rnacentral:rRNA from 1 species